rnacentral:rRNA from 1 species
CCCUUAGAUGUCCUGGGCUGCACGCGCGCUACACUGAUGUGUCCAGUAAGCACCUAACCUCUUCCGAAAGGAACGGGUAACCUUUGCAAAGCACAUCGUGAUGGGGAUAGAUUAUUGCAAUUAUUAGUCUUGAACGAGGAAUUCCUAGUAAGCACAAGUCAUCAGCUUGUGUUGAUUACGUCCCUGCCCUUUGUACACACCGCCCGUCGCUCCUACCGAUUUUGAGUGGUCCGGUGAACCUUCUGGAUUGUGCGGCUUGCCGCGCGAGAAGUUAUGUAAACCUUAUCACUUAGAGGAAGGAGAAGUCGUAACA